UCAAGGCGGCUCUGUGGGUACAAGAUGCAGAGGAGGAGAUGUUUGUGUGGUUCAUCGUACAAAUGGAGUGAUACCUGCGAGGAAAUUAGAUGACAGGAUUAUAAGAGCUCUCGCUGAUAACGAAGGAACGUUUAGAGUUGACGUUGGUCCUAGCAAAUACACAACGUUUUAUCAACUUCCACAUGGUUCAGCAGGUUUUCAAUCUAAUUGCGGAGGAACGAGCUGUGCACGAAUAAUUACAUCUCACAGUUAUCCUUACAAAUGGGAGUCAAACUGCAGAGGAAUAACAGUUGGAUAUAAAAUAGCUAGCAGUAGUCACAAAG